ensembl:lncRNA
GGGAUGCAUGGCCUCAGCUGUGUGCCCUCCAGUAUUACAGCUCUCACUGGCCACAGGAGCAGAGCAAAGCCACGCUCUGGUAUGUAAACCCCAGCUUGGCACCUUCCACCCACGACCUGUUGGAAGCGUGGCUGAGGAUUUGCCCAGAGAAGCUGUGGUGCCCCAUCCCUGGAGGCACUCAAGGCCAGGCUGGAUGGGGCCCUGGGCAGCCUGAGCUGGUGGCAGGCAGCCCUGCCCAGGGCUGGUGCUGGGUGGGCUUUGAGCUCCCUUCCAAGCCAAACCGUUCUGUAAGUCUGUGUCUCCCUUCAUCCCCAGCCCUGCAGUACAGGCAGUGCAUGCUGUCCCACACUGCAGUGUCCACCUGCAUGGAAGGAUGAGACUUUUGUUUAGUGAGACCACAACUAACAGACCCAGUGAGCUUCCAGAAAAAAAUAAAGCAGGACUGAAGGGAGCCAGGAGUGAAGACAGCAAGAUAAUAUCCACGGGAGGCCUCUUGGUAACCUCUUUUGCCUGCAGGCCUGAGCCUCUUCUCCAGCAUCACCUGUGGCAUUCCUGUCCACAGCGAGAGCCGUGUGGCUGCGCAGCUCAGUGAGAGGUGAGAUUUGCACUCUCUCGCUUUAAAACCGGACAGUUUAGGCCGCACAACAGAUGGUGGUGAGCCGGGGUCCUCAGGCACAAAGAAAUCCACCAGAACCAGAAAUGUUUUGUUUCACGAAUUUUUGGGGCAAGACUCUCGUUUGCCAUCGUAGAUCUUGUUACAGAGGUCUCACAUGCCCCCUAGAAAGGGCUGUGUAAGACUGUCUUCUGUGCACGCUAUCACAGGAGAAGAUCCCUCUUCAGGAGGAAGGCAGGGCGUAAUUCAAUUUAGUGCAGUCUCAUUAACGGAGCAUUAUCAAAAUUCCUUUCAGGAGAAGCUGGAGUAAUCCCUAAGAUGCAGAGGGCCACCAGCCUUUAGAGCAAAUCCCGCUUCUAAUGCCGUAAUCCCAUGCAACCCUGGUUAGAGAAAAAUGAUUCCAGCAGUAAUUGUCAGACAGUCAGGUUUCAUGGUGCGGGGUUACGCGGCCGGUGAGACAGCAGUGCUGCUCUUCCUGCUCCCGGACCAACUUUUAAUUAAUCACAGCAUUACUGCACUGAUCAGGCAGUCGGUUUUUACAGUUCUCUCCAGAUAGGCACACUCUUGAAAGAAAGGCAAUAAAUACACGCCCUGACGUGCACAUAAAGCACAGGAAGCAAAGAACGUUCCUUAAACUUCAGCACUAACCCUCCUGCAGUUGCUGCAAGCCUGAAAGCAAUUUAUCACAGCUCCCAGGUAAUAGCAGCAGCCUUCUGCCUGUCUCCAGCCAUGCACGCUGCUUAUUGUGGAAAGAUUAUAUUAGAAGUGAAUAAAAACAGCCUGACAGGCCCAUAAAGCAGAGAGGCUGACAGGAAGGCAGCUGGGCAC